rnacentral:rRNA from 1 species
UAGGGAAUCUUCCGCAAUGGGCGAAAGCCUGACGGAGCAACGCCGCGUGAGUGAUGAAGGUCUUCGGAUCGUAAAACUCUGUUAUUAGGGAAGAACAAAUGUGUAAGUAACUAUGCACGUCUUGACGGUACCUAAUCAGAAAGCCACGGCUAACUACGUGCCAGCAGCCGCGGUAAUACGUAGGUGGCAAGCGUUAUCCGGAAUUAUUGGGCGUAAAGCGCGCGUAGGCGGUUUUUUAAGUCUGAUGUGAAAGCCCACGGCUCAACCGUGGAGGGUCAUUGGAAACGGGAAAACUUGAGUGCAGAAGAGGAAAGUGGAAUUCCAUGUGUAGCGGUGAAAGGCGCAGAGAUAUGGAGGAACACCAGUGGCGAAGGCGACUUUCUGGUCUGUAACUGACGCUGAUGUGCGAAAGCGUGGGGAUCAAACAGG